AGAGUUUGAUCAUGGCUCAGAUUGAACGCUGGCGGCAUGCCUUACACAUGCAAGUCGAACGGCAGCGCGGGAGCAGUCCUGGCGGCGAGUGGCGAACGGGUGAGUAAUAUAUCGGAACGUGCCUUAGAGUGGGGGAUAACUAGUCGAAAGACUAGCUAAUACCGCAUACGACCUACGGGUGAAAGUGGGGGAUCGCAAGACCUCAUGCUCUUAGAGCGGCCGAUAUCUGAUUAGCUAGUUGGUGGGGUAAAAGCCUACCAAGGCGACGAUCAGUAGCUGGUCUGAGAGGACGACCAGCCACACUGGGACUGAGACACGGCCCAGACUCCUACGG
rnacentral:rRNA from 1 species